UACGUAGGGGGCAAGCGUUGUCCGGAUUUAUUGGGCGUAAAGAGCGUGUAGGCGGCUAUACAGGUCCGUUGUGAAAACUCGAGGCUCAACCUCGAGACGCCGAUGGAAACCGUAUGGCUAGAGUCCGGAAGAGGCGAGUGGAAUUCCUGGUGUAGCGGUGAAAUGCGCAGAUAUCAGGAGGAACACCAAUUGCGAAGGCAGCUCGCUGGGACGUUACUGACGCUGAGACGCGAAAGCGUGGGGAGCAAACAGG
rnacentral:rRNA from 1 species